rnacentral:lncRNA from 1 species
UUUAAAGGCUGCUCAUCCAUUUUUGGUGCCCUUCUUUCUCCCAAGUUUCACCUGUGGCUUCAAGAAACUGUAGCAUUUCUGGUAGUCACACCCUGGUAAACCAUUUUGGCAGAUGGAUAAAACCAGGUUGAGAGUAACUGAUGGGCCACAAACCUGUUAGUAAGGAGGGCAAGAUUAUUGUGGUCCAAAGUAGUGGAGGAAAGUAUCCUGAAGGAGAUAAUCCUUGGAUUGGGCCUUCAAGGACCUCAAAGGCA